UCUUUCUCCACAGCUUUUGCAAAGAAUGAGACGUGAGUCUGGCAAACGUGCACGAAAAAGAAGAAUAGGCCAGGAAUGUUGGCUCAUGUUUGUAAUCCCAGAAUAUUGGGAGGCUGAGGUGGGUGGAUCUCUUGAACGCAGGAAGUCAAGGCUGCAGUGAGCCAUGAUUAUGCCACUGCACUUUAGCACCCCAGCCUGGAAGGCAGAGCAAGACCCUAUUACAAACAAGCAAACAACAACAAUGACAACAAAAAACAGAGAGAGAGAGAGAAAGGGCCAAAUGACCCACCAGAAAAUGUGAACGUAUUUGUACAGAUGAGAUCACUGACUACAGCAAAGGAACUGCAAGGGAACUCAAGCUUGAAAAUACAUCAAAAAUAACUGGAAUGAAAAAGAGCACCAUCAUCUUGAACACAGCUUGGAAGAGAAAGCACAGAUGGAGGAAGACAGCGUCACGCCCAUCACCUGGCUCUUUCCUCAGAGAUGGCUGCCCCCUCUUUUAUACUUUCUGUACUGAACCUAGAAACAAUACCUUUUGCCAACUCAGAUGUGACAUUGUUCUUCCAGCUUCAUUUUACUUCCCAACCCUUUACUUAAAUGUCUGAUUCCUCCUGAGUCAAAAUGAGUGUUUUCAUGGGCAGAAAAGGAGUGUAAAUGGGUGCUUGAUAAAUGUUUAUUGAAAUAAAUGGAAUAGGUCUGUGCUAA